rnacentral:rRNA from 1 species
GACGAACGCUGGCGGCGUGCUUAACACAUGCAAGUCGAACGAAGAGCCGUGGAAGUUUCCUCCUAUCCGUCUUCGUGGCGAACGGGUGUGUAACGCGUAAUCCACCUGCCCUUCAGAGGGGGACAACAGUUGGAAACGACUGCUAAUCCCGCAUACGAUCUAAUCUCAGCAUCGAGGAUAGAUGAAAGGUGGCGUCUACAUGUAAGCUAUCACUGAAGGCGGGGAUUGCGUCUGAUUAGCUAGGUGGAUGGGUAACGGCCUAACAAGGGGAUGAUCAGUAGCCGGUCUGGAGAGAUGAACGGCCACAAUGGGACCGGGACACGGCCCAGACCUCUACGGGAGGCAGCAGUGGGGAAACUUUCGCAAAUGACGAAAGGCUGACGGAGCAACGCCGCGGUGGGGAUGACGGCCUUCGGGUUGUAAAGACCUGGUAAUCGGGAAGAAAGGACUGCUUGCGAAUAGAGAGAAGGAUUGACGGUACCGGAACAGAAAGCCACGGCUAACUACGUG